UCAGGACGAACGCUGGCGGCGUGCUUAACACAUGCAAGUCGAACGGUGAAGCCCUUCGGGGUGGAUCAGUGGCGAACGGGUGAGUAACACGUGGGCAAUCUGCCCUGCACUCUGGGACAAGCCCUGGAAACGGGGUCUAAUACCGGAUAUUACUGUCGCAGGCAUCUGUGAUGGUGGAAAGCUCCGGCGGUGCAGGAUGAGCCCGCGGCCUAUCAGCUUGUUGGUGGGGUGAUGGCCUACCAAGGCGACGACGGGUAGCCGGCCUGAGAGGGCGACCGGCCACACUGGGACUGAGACACGGCCCAGACUCCUACGGGAGGCAGCAGUGGGGAAUAUUGCACAAUGGGCGAAAGCCUGAUGCAGCGACGCCGCGUGAGGGAUGACGGCCUUCGGGUUGUAAACCUCUUUCAGCAGGGAAGAAGCGCAAGUGACGGUACCUGCAGAAGAAGCACCGGCUAACUACGUGCCAGCAGCCGCGGUAAUACGUAGGGUGCGAGCGUUGUCCGGAAUUAUUGGGCGUAAAGAGCUCGUAGGCGGCUUGUCGCGUCGGAUGUGAAAGCCCGGGGCUUAACUCCGGGUCUGCAUUCGAUACGGGCAGGCUAGAGUGUGGUAGGGGAGAUCGGAAUUCCUGGUGUAGCGGUGAAAUGCGCAGAUAUCAGGAGGAACACCGGUGGCGAAGGCGGAUCUCUGGGC
rnacentral:rRNA from 1 species